rnacentral:lncRNA from 1 species
GGUAGCCACUGUUCUGGGCACUGAAUUCCAGCCACCGAGAGGGGUUGGAGGCUACUGGAGCCUUCAGGGAAAUGUUUUCUUGCUCCCAAAAAAGGCCCAGGAAAAGAUGAUCUCUCCUUCCACUGAACAUGGCCACAUCUGCUGUGACCUCUCGAGCAGUGGCAACCACUUUGUAGCCAAGCGGAGGAUAGAUCUGAGGCCAGAGAAGGGAGAUGAGGAGGACCUGGGUCUCUCCGCUCUUUCUGUGCCUCUGAAUUCUCCAGUUCUGGAGCCAGUCUCCCUCAGAACUUCCUGUUCAAUGAGCUUGCAGGUCGCCAGUUGCUCAGCAUGACAAGAGAGGAGCUGCUCCGCCAUCCGUCUGUCACUGUCAGCUCGCAGGCCGUCUCCUGCUGAGUCAGACGGCCCACGUCCUGCCCUCUGAG